AAAUAUACAAACCUUUAUGCACCAUGUGUUGAAGAAGAGGAUGAAGAGCCAGUUCCUGUAAAUUUGGGGAAUUUAUCAGACGCAACCAUAGAGGAGGUAAACAUUACACUACCUGAUAUCAUUGCAAAGAUGUCGCAUCAUAUUGAUCAUGGAAGAGUUAGCCGUUUCAACAUUACAAGGUCAAAUGUCUGGGAUGGAGCAGUCCGAGGCUUCAAGCGUGCAACAUACUCAGAAACCUGUGAUAUGCUAGUCAGAUUUACUGAUGAUGCUGGUGUUUUUGAGGAUGGAAUUGAUACAGGUGGUCCAAGACGAGAGUUUCUAACUCUACUAAUGAACCAUCUUAAAGACUGACCAAUUUUUGAUGGACCAACAGGACAACGUUACUUAGUCUACAAUGCAAAUGCUCUCAGGGAGGAUGAGUACUUCUUGGCAGGAAAGAUGAUUGCGGUAUCAGUUGUGCAUGGAGGCCCAGGUCCACAUUUCCUCUCAGA